GGAUUGUGGCUCAGAGGUAGAGUGCUCACCUAGCAUGUGCAAGGUGCUGGGUUCAAUCCUCAGCUCCA
rnacentral:tRNA from 1 species